AGAAUGGAGUACUGAGGAUGAGAGCUGAUGUGUGAGUGGAAGAUGAGAGGCUGAAGAAAGUCUCUCUCAUGAGAAGACAUCUCUGCAGGACUAGGAUCUCCUGAGCUUCAGAGCCCAUUUCAGCUCUCAGUGCCCAGCUGCAAUGUAAGGUGAAGCCCAACACACAUGGAGCAGCUGUGGGGAGGAGGACUGAGGCAGUCAGCUGAGACCAUGAGCAUCAGCUAUAAGCGGCCUUCUGUGUUCCAGCUCAGUGGAUGCUGCAGACGACUGCAAGCCCAGCUGAUACUGUGCAGAGCAGAAGAAGCACCCACUUAAUCCCUGCCAACCCACGAAAUCAUGACAGAUGACAAAAUGGUUGUCCUUUAAGCCAAAGUUUUGGGGUUAGUUUGUUAUGUACUCACAGAUAGCUGAAACAGGGAGUGUUUGUUUUCUUCUAAGUAGUUUUCAGAUUCUUUAAAAUAUUCUUUUGCAAUAGACAUGUGAUUUAAUCCCCUUCCUUGUUUAAAAAUGAGCUAUAAAAGUGUGUCAGUAGAGAAA